rnacentral:rRNA from 1 species
AGAGUUUGAUCAUGGCUCAGAUUGAACGCUGGCGGCAGGCCUAACACAUGCAAGUCGAGCGGAUGAGAGGAGCUUGCUCCUCGAUUCAGCGGCGGACGGGUGAGUAAUGCCUAGGAAUCUGCCUAGUAGUGGGGGACAACGUUUCGAAAGGAACGCUAAUACCGCAUACGUCCUACGGGAGAAAGUGGGGGAUCUUCGGACCUCACGCUAUUAGAUGAGCCUAGGUCGGAUUAGCUAGUUGGUAGGGUAAAGGCCUACCAAGGCGACGAUCCGUAACUGGUCUGAGAGGAUGAUCAGUCACACUGGAACUGAGACACGGUCCAGACUCCUACGGGAGGCAGCAGUGGGGAAUUUUGGACAAUGGGGGCAACCCUGAUCCAGCAAUGCCGCGUGAGUGAAGAAGGCCUUCGGGUUGUAAAGCACUUUUGUCCGGAAAGAAAUCGUCCUGGCUAAUAUCCGGGAUGGAUGACGGUACUGGAAGAAUAAGCACCGGCUAACUACGUGCCAGCAGCCGCGGUAAUACGUAGGGUGCGAGCGUUAAUCGGAAUUACUGGGCGUAAAGCGUGCGCAGGCGGUUGUGCAAGACAGAUGUGAAAUCCCCGGGCUCAACCUGGGAACUGCAUUUGUGACUGCACGGCUAGAGUGUGUCAGAGGGGGGUAGAAUUCCACGUGUAGCAGUGAAAUGCGUAGAGAUGUGGAGGAAUACCGAUGGCGAAGGCAGCCCCCUGGGUCAAGACUGACGCUCAUGCACGAAAGCGUGGGGAGCAAACAGGAUUAGAUACCCUGGUAGUCCACGCCCUAAACGAUGUCUACUAGUUGUUGGGUCUUAAUUGACUUAGUAACGCAGCUAACGCGUGAAGUAGACCGCCUGGGGAGUACGGUCGCAA